rnacentral:rRNA from 1 species
GCAAGUCGAACGAGAAAGCGAACUUCGGUUCGUGAGUAGAGUGGCGCACGGGUGAGUAAUACGUAGAUAAUCUACCUUCGAAUUUGGGAUAACAUCGCGAAAGUGAUGCUAAUACCGGAUAAUAUUGAUAUGACUUCGGUUAUAUCAAUCAAAGAUGGCCAAUUCUUGAAAGCUAUUGUUUGAAGAUGAGUCUACGCACCAUUAGCUUGUUGGUGGGGUAAAGGCCUACCAAGGCGACGAUGCAUAGCUGGUCUGAGAGGAUGAAC